AUUGAACGCUGGCGGCGUGCCUAACACAUGCAAGUCGAUCGGUAACGCGGGGGCAACCCUGGCGACGAGAGGCGGACGGGUGAGCAAUGCUUGGGAAUCUGCCCAUCAGCGGGGGACAACCCGGGGAAACCCGGGCUAAUACCGCGUACGCUCUACGGAGGAAAGCCGGGGACCGCAAGGCCUGGCACUGACGGAUGAGCCCAAGCCGGAUUAGCUAGUUGGCGGGGUAACGGCCCACCAAGGCGACGAUCCGUAGCUGGUCUGAGAGGACGAUCAGCCACACCGGAACUGAGACACGGUCCGGACUCCUACGGGAGGCAGCAGUGGGGAAUAUUGGACAAUGGGGGAAACCCUGAUCCAGCGACGCCGCGUGGGUGAAGAAGGCCUGCGGGUUGUAAAGCCCUUUCGGUAGGGACGAAAGCUUCCGACCUAACACGUCGGAGGGUUGACUUAACCUACAGAAGAAGCACCGGCUAACUCUGUGCCAGCCGCCGCGGUAACAC
rnacentral:rRNA from 1 species